CCUACGGGUGGCAGCAGUAGGGAAUUUUGCGCAAUGGGCGAAAGCCUGACGCAGCAACGCCGCGUGAUUGAUUAAGCCCUUCGGGGUGUAAAGAUCUGUCAGUGGGGACGAAACUUGAGGGUACCCACAGAGGAAGCACCGGCUAACUCCGUGCCAGCAGCCGCGGUAAUACGGAGGGUGCAAGCGUUGUCCGGAAUCAUGGGGCGUAAAGAGUUCGAAGGGGGCAUGGUAAGUCUGGUGUUAAAGGCGGAAGCUCAACUUCCGUACGGUACUGGAUACUGGACAGCUUGAGUGCGGGAGAGGUAAAGGGAAUUCCUGGUGUAGCGGUGAAAUGCGUAGAUAUCAGGAGGAACACCGGUGGCGUAGGCGCUUUACUGGGCCGUAACUGACACUGAGGAACGAAAGCGUGGGUAGCAAAUGGGAUUAGAUACCCCUGUAGUC
rnacentral:rRNA from 1 species